GGGCAGUUACUCAAGCGGUCAACGAGGACAGACUGUAAAUCUGUUGGGUUUCCCUUCGGGGGUUCGAAUCCUCCACUGCCCA
rnacentral:tRNA from 1 species